rnacentral:ncRNA from 1 species
CCCCUACUGGGUGGCCUGCAAGGAGAGAAUCCCGUGAAAACCGGGAGCGGUCGCGCCGCUGUAAGGGAGGACGAAACCGGCAUAAACCAAUGUCUAUAUAGAUGUGAAGGAGCCGGAAGUAGAUUGAUCCCCGAGCCAGAAGAACUGUGGGA